CAUAGCCGCGGGAAUACGUAGGGUGCAAGCGUUAAUCGGAAUUACUGGGCGUAAAGCGUGCGCAGGCGGUUAUGCAAGACAGACGUGAAAUCCCCGGGCUCAACCUGGGAACUGCAUUUGUGACUGCAUGACUGGAGUACGGCAGAGGGGGAUGGAAUUCCGCGUGUAGCAGUGAAAUGCGUAGAUAUGCGGAGGAACACCGAUGGCGAAGGCAAUCCCCUGGGCCUGUACUGACGCUCAUGCACGAAAGCGUGGGGAGCAAACAGGAUUAGAUACCCGAGUAGUCCCUGUCUCUUAUACA
rnacentral:rRNA from 1 species